rnacentral:rRNA from 1 species
GGGUGGUAAUGCCGGAUGUUCCACAUGAUCGCAUGUGAUUGUGGGAAAGAUUCUAUCGGCGUGGGAUGGGGUCGCGUCCUAUCAGCUUGUUGGUGAGGUAACGGCUCACCAAGGCUUCGACGGGUAGCCGGCCUGAGAGGGCGACCGGCCACAUUGGGACUGAGAUACGGCCCAGACUCCUACGGGAGGCAGCAGUGGGGAAUAUUGCACAAUGGGCGCAAGCCUGAUGCAGCGACGCCGCGUGAGGGAUGGAGGCCUUCGGGUUGUAAACCUCUUUUGUUUGGGAGCAAGCCUUCGGGUGAGUGUACCUUUCGAAUAAGCGCCGGCUAACUACGUGCCAGCAGCCGCGGUAAUACGUAGGGCGCAAGCGUUAUCCGGAUUUAUU